GACGAACGCUGGCGGCGCGCUUAACACAUGCAAGUCGAACGAAGAGCGACGGAAGCUUGCUUCUAUCAAUCUUAGUGGCGAACGGGUGAGUAACGCGUAAUCAACCUGCCCUUCAGAGGGGGACAACAGUUGGAAACGACUGCUAAUACCGCAUACGAUCUAACCUCGGCAUCGAGGAUAGAUGAAAGGUGGCCUCUACAUGUAAGCUAUCACUGAAGGAGGGGAUUGCGUCUGAUUAGCUAGUUGGAGGGGUAACGGCCCACCAAGGCGAUGAUCAGUAGCCGGUCUGAGAGGAUGAACGGCCACAUUGGGACUGAGACACGGCCCAGACUCCUACGGGAGGCAGCAGUGGGGAAUCUUCCGCAAUGGACGAAAGUCUGACGGAGCAACGCCGCGUGAGUGAUGACGGCCUUCGGGUUGUAAAGCUCUGUUAAUCGGGACGAAAGGCCUUCUUGCGAAUAGUGAGAAGGAU
rnacentral:rRNA from 1 species